AGCCGCAUGCGAAGAUGUAUUAUCGCAUGCGGCUGUCUUAAUGAGCCGCAUGCGAUAAUACAUCUUCGCAUGCGGCU
rnacentral:pre_miRNA from 11 species